rnacentral:rRNA from 1 species
UACAGAGGGUGCAAGCGUUGCUCGGAAUCAUUGGGCGUAAAGGGCAAGUAGGUGGUCUCAUUUGUCUAGGGUGAAAUCCUUGAGCUUAACUCAAGAAGUGCCCUAGAAACGGUGAGACUCGAGUACUGGAGAGGGUCGUGGAAUUCCCGGUGUAGCGGUGAAAUUCGUAGAUAUCGAGAGGAACAUCUGUGGCGAAGGCGGCCUUCUGGACGGUGACUGACGCUGAGACGCGAAAGCGUGGGGAGCAAACAGGGAUAGAAACCCCGUAGACCCA